rnacentral:rRNA from 1 species
UACGGAGGGUGCAAACGUUGCUCGGAAUCAUUGGGCGUAAAGCGUGUGUAGGCGGUUUGUUAAGUCGGGUGUGAAAGCCCUGGGCUCAACCCAGGAAGUGCAUUCGAAACUGGCAAACUUGAGUACGGGAGAGGGUCGCGGAAUUCCCGGUGUAGAGGUGAAAUUCGUAGAUAUCGGGAGGAACACCAGUGGCGAAGGCGGCGACCUGGACCGAUACUGACGCUGAGACACGAAAGCGUGGGGAGCAAACAGG